rnacentral:lncRNA from 1 species
CUCUGGUCUCAUCCUUCAGAGUGUCGCUAAUGUACAUGGAAGCAUUAAGUGUCGUUAAUGUACAUGGAAGAACACUAACGCACACCUCAAUCGUACAGCACGUUGAUGAUGCCCGCCCCUUCACAGCAAUUACGUAUUACCAUAACACAAAUAGAAUACUUAGUAAGUAUACUAAACAAGGGAAAUAUAAAAUGGCCCUCAGGAGAGGUACUAAUAUGUUUAACAUGCUACGAAAUGAUAAAAGCAAAAUCCCAGAGACCAAGAAGUCAGGAGUGUAUACCAUCCCCCUGUAUAACCUGGAUGACAAUGAACAACAAUACUAUAUAGGAAGCACAAGCC